UACGUAGGGUGCGAGCGUUCCCCGGAUUUAUUGGGCGUAAAGGGCGCGUAGGCGGCUCUGCACGUCCGUUGUGAAAUCGCCCGGCUCAACUGGGCGGGGUCAGCGGAUACGGCGGAGCUUGAGCAAGCUAGGGGGCAAUGGAAUUCCCGGUGUAGUGGUGGAAUGCGUAGAUAUCGGGAGGAACACCAGUGGCGAAGGCGGUUGCCUGGGGCUUUGCUGACGCUGAUGCGCGAAAGCGUGGGGAGCGAUCCGG
rnacentral:rRNA from 1 species